AAAAAUGAGUUCUUGUUCAAAUUCAAGCAAGAGAUUGGAGUUAAUACGAACUAAAAAUCAAAUUUCUGAAAUCCACGCGAAGAACAAGUCAAUUCGGAUCAAAAUUGAAAAAUCCCCAAAAACUGAAAUUAGGGUUCUUACCUUGGGUGUAGGCCUGGGGAAUCGGGAGGCGCAAGUGGUGGUGGUCGUCGGAGAAUUGGGAGGCGCUACUGGUGGUGGUGGUCGUCGGAGAGCCGAGAUGCGCUAGUGGUGGUGGUCGUCGGAGAACCGGAAGGCAGUGAUGGUGGUGGUCGUCGGAGAA
rnacentral:lncRNA from 1 species